rfam:Mycobacterium bacteremicum strain DSM 45578 NODE_11_length_193359_cov_43.0509, whole genome shotgun sequence.
AGCUCGAUCGGGUCGAUGGCGCGGGUGACCAGCAGGUAGUCGCGCAGCGCGAUGCCGUGCCGGUUCUC